AUUUCCCUAAGAGAUCCCUGAAAGACGAUCAGGUUGAUAGGCUAGAAGUGGAAGAGUAGUGAUAUUUGGAGCUGACUAGUACUAAUAGAUCCAACGACUUUGAUGA
rnacentral:ncRNA from 1 species